rnacentral:rRNA from 1 species
ACCUACGGGGGGCAGCAGUGAGGAAUAUUGGUCAAUGGUCAGGAGACUGAACCAGCCAAGCCGCGUGAGGGAUGAAGGUACAGAGUAUCGUAAACCUCUUUUGUCAGGGAACAAAGGCGGGGACGUGUCCCCGGAUGAGUGUACCUGAAGAAAAAGCAUCGGCUAACUCCGUGCCAGCAGCCGCGGUAAUACGGAGGAUGCGAGCGUUAUCCGGAUUUAUUGGGUUUAAAGGGUGCGCAGGCGGUCUGUUAAGUCAGCGGUCAAAGCCCGGGGCUCAACCCCGGCCCGCCGUUGAAACUGGCAGG